GCAGGGAGCUCUGCCAGCCUUCUUCCUGGAUUCCUGCCUCCCUUGGGCCUGCCCAGUUCAGGCUUCAGGGAGCCCCGCCCACCCGCCGAUCAGCUGAGAGGCGGGGAGAGAAGAGCUCUGCAGUUUGCAGGCUGCUCUGAUCCUAGGCCUCGUUGCCGAUCCUAGGCCGGAGCUGGAGGCAAGUGGCUGAGGGGCCCUGGGGCUGGGCAGUUGGGCAAUGGGGUGGGGGUGUCAGGAACUGGCAUGGCGCCCCCACCUCAGUGGCGCCUAGAGCACGUGCCCUACCUGCCCCCCCACAGUUCCGCCUGUGUAGAGGUGGUAAACCUAUUGUAACUAGUCUGAGUGUGUGUAGUCCUCUGUUUGAUGGGGAGUACAUUUAAUUAUUUUUGGCCCUGGUGGGGAGACAGCCUGUGUGAGAGAAUUAUGAGGCAAUACUGAGGAAAAAAGGCGAUCUUGAGAAGAAAUUUGAUUAUGAAGUAGAGUUGAGACGAAGAGUAAUGGCAAAAGACUGAAAAGGAGAAACCUACUUCUACAGCCAGAUGACGAUUCUGUUGCAGGUACUCUGCCUUUUCUUCUGCUGUGACCACUAGAUGUCUCCUGUGGCCCAGUUUCACAAGCUGAAUGCAACCUUUGCAAUUCCUCCAGUUAUGGCUAGAAGAAUACAAAGGUAUUUCCCUUGGAUUAUGAACUGCCGAGAGUCUUGAGUAUGGGGCGGUAUAGAAAUGUGCUAGCUAGCUAGCUAGCUGGCUAGCUCAAAUCAAAUCAAAUCAAAUCAAAUCAAAU